rnacentral:rRNA from 1 species
UACGUAGGGGGCAAGCGUUGUCCGGAUUUAUUGGGCGUAAAGAGCGUGUAGGCGGUCAGGUAGGUCCGUUGUGAAAACUCGAGGCUCAACCUCGAGACGCCGAUGGAAACCAUCUGACUAGAGUCCGGAAGAGGAGAGUGGAAUUCCUGGUGUAGCGGUGAAAUGCGCAGAUAUCAGGAGGAACACCGGUGGCGAAGGCGGGUCUCUGGGCCGAUACUGACACUGAGAAGCGAAAGCGUGGGGAGCGAACAGG